GUAAAAGACAAAUGACCACUUGGAAUUACUGUGAAAUUUUGAGCAAUCUUCUGGGUACCAUAGUCUAAUCUUUUUGUUUGUUACUAUGCCAUACAGGAGCUAAGUAGUUGCAGACUUGCAGGCCUAUUGGUACCUAAAGAGAUUCUGUAAGAUCAAGUUGGUAGUCUUGCUAACCAACAAUAUACAGCUGCUGCUGCUGCUUCUUCUGCUGCCAAGGAACUAAAGCCACUUCCGCAUUUUAAUCUCUCUGUUGCAGAAUUGCCAUUUUCUUGCAGGAUGUUGCUCCUUUUUCA
rnacentral:misc_RNA from 1 species